UACGGAGGGUGCAAGCGUUAUCCGGAUUCACUGGGUUUAAAGGGUGCGUAGGUGGGCAGGUAAGUCAGUGGUGAAAUCUCUGGGCUUAACCCAGAAACUGCCGUUGAUACUAUCUGUCUUGAAUGUAGUGGAGGUGAGCGGAAUAUGUCAUGUAGCGGUGAAAUGCUUAGAUAUGACAUAGAACAUCUAUUGCGAAGGCAGCUCGCUACACUAUAAUUGACACUGAGGCACGAAAGCGUGGGGAUCAAACAGG
rnacentral:rRNA from 1 species